rnacentral:tRNA from 1 species
GCAGUCGUGGCCGAGUGGUUAAGGCGAGUGACUAGAAAUCCCUUGGGGUCUCCCCGCACAAGUUCAAAUCCUGUCGACUGCG